GGACGAACGCUGGCGGCGUGCCUAACACAUGCAAGUCGAACGGAGUUGUUCCUUCGGGGACAACUUAGUGGCGAACGGGUGAGUAACGCGUGAGAAACCUGCCUUUCAGUGGGGGACAACAGUUGGAAACGACUGCUAAUACCGCAUAAUGUUAUUUGGGGGCAUCCCUGAAUAACCAAAGCUUUAUGUGCUGAAAGAUGGUCUCGCGUCUGAUUAGCUAGUUGGUGAGGUAACGGCUCACCAAGGCGACGAUCAGUAGCCGGUCUGAGAGGAUGAACGGCCACAUUGGGACUGAGAUACGGCCCAGACUCCUACGGGAGGCAGCAGUGGGGAAUAUUGGGCAAUGGGCGAAAGCCUGACCCAGCAACGCCGCGUGAAGGAAGAAGGCCUUCGGGUUGUAAACUUCUUUUACCAGGGACGAAGAACGUGACGGUACCUGGAGAAAAAGCAACGGCUAACUACGUG
rnacentral:rRNA from 1 species